rnacentral:rRNA from 1 species
AGAGUGAACGCUGGCGGUAGGCCUAACACAUGCAAGUCGAACGGCAGCACGGUAAGAGCUUGCUCUUAUGGGUGGCGAGUGGCGGACGGGUGAGGAAUACAUCGGAAUCUACCUUUUGGUGGGGGAUAACGUAGGGAAACUUACGCUAAUACCGCAUACGCCCUUCGGGGGAAAGCCGGGGACCAGCAAUGGCCUGGCGCUGAUAGAUGAGCCGAUGUCGGAUUAGCUAGUUGGUGAGGUAAUGGCUCACCAAGGCGACGAUCCGUAGCUGGUCUGAGAGGAUGAUCAGCCACACUGGAACUGAGACACGGUCCAGACUCCGUAACGGGAGGCAGCAGUGGGGAAUAUUGGACAAUGGGCGCAAGCCUGAUCCAGCCAUACCGCGUGGUGAAGAAGGCCUUCGGGUUGUAAAGUCCCUUUUGUAGGGAAAGAAAGCUAUUCGGUUAAUACCCGG